UGAGGUCUCAGCCAGAUCCUACCGGGAGAGCUGGACAUGUUCACGAAUGCCUGAGUCCUCCCGGAGGUGAGGUUCCCCACACCUGGACACCUCAAGAGAAGGCAGCGGCAUGCACCCUGCUUUCCCAGACCGCCCAGCACGGACCAUUCAUUAUUUCAUCAUGGGUGGGGUUGCAGAGAGGACUCAAAGGCCAGGCCUGCAAAGGCCAUUGUGCGCCCGGGGCAGAAUUUUGCUGCUUGGAGCUUACUGCUUUUCCCCACCACUAAAUGAUGAAGAGAAAGCCCCAGGGGAACGAAUCCAUGGCAAGGUUUAAAGGGAGUCCCUUUGUAGAAUCCUUAUGCUGAAAGUACACGCACUUUAAAAGAUCCACGAGGCAGAAUCUUGUAACUGCAGAGGACAAUAUUUUAAUUAAAUAUAACGCUUUUAUUAAUUCAACAAACGUAUCUUUAGCAACUCCUACGAGCUACAAACUUUGAAGAAUAUAAAAUCAAGAAGAUAUGGAAGGACCUGACUUACUAUAAGGCAGAAAGAAGCAUAAACUCAUGACAAGCAAAUGUGAGGGAAUUCUAGAAGCAGGAGAGACUCACCACAGAAGGUGGAAUUGGAGCUGACCUUGAAAGGAUGAUAAAGGCUUUAACAGGAAAAAUGGAGCUGCAGACGCCAAGAAAAGUGUGGCGAGGCUGAAGUGAAACUGGCAAUAGAGUGGGGCCAAAAGUGACAGGAGAUGGCCUCACAGGUCAGGGACGUACGUGGCUGUGGACAGACCACAAGGCACGUGAUGGGUGUAGUACAUGUCCCCUGACACGUGAAGGCAGCGGACUCCACAGGGGUCCCAAGACCCACAGCCAAGUGCUUUGUCUCCAGCACAGCACCCUUGGCCAGGCCCCCAGCACCUUGGGUGAGACUGGCCCGGCCUGGUCAGCAGAGGCCUGGGUGGGAGCUCAUGCUACAUGGAAUGUCGGAGCAGGCCACCAUGGGAACCAAGCCAGAAGCAUGGAGGACACACCACAGCAGCUGGGAAUAACUCUGGGCCCCUGACUCUGCCCCCAUCCGCUCCCCAGAGCCCUCUGCUCAUCAGCGGCCAGCCUUGCCUUCCACUCUUGAAGAACCUCCCUUUGGCUCCUGGCCAGGCUGGAGAAUUUUCCCUGGCUCACUCCUGUGUUAUUCCUUCAGGCGAUGACGAGUAAUUACCCACCUACUCCACACGCCAUAACCGGGGGCAAGAGAUGGGAUGCACACCUGGGCCCCAAGCCCCAGCCUUGGGUCUGUAGGACUCUCUCUGCCACCACACAUGAACCCUCACACCUGUAAGUCAGAGACAGACAUAGGGCACCAGGUAAGAGCGACCCUGUUGGGGAGAAGGUGUUAAGCUGAGGGGAGAACUUGAAAUACAAUGAAAGUAGACAUACAAUGGGUUCUCUGACCCUUAAAUU